rnacentral:rRNA from 1 species
AUUGAACGCUGGCGGCAUGCCUUACACAUGCAAGUCGAACGGCAGCACGGGGCAACCUGGUGGCGAGUGGCGAACGGGUGAGUAAUGCAUCGGAACGUACCUUUCAGUGGGGGAUAACGUAGCGAAAGUUACGCUAAUACCGCAUAUUCUGUGAGCAGGAAAGCAGGGGAUCGCAAGACCUUGCGCUGAUUGAGCGGCCGAUGUCAGAUUAGCUAGUUGGUGAGGUGAAGGCUCACCAAGGCGACGAUCUGGAGCGGGUCUGAGAGGAUGAUCCGCCACACUGGAACUGAGACACGGUCCAGACUCCUACGGGAGGCAGCAGUGGGGAAUUUUGGACAAUGGGGGCAACCCUGAUCCAGCCAUGCCGCGUGAGUGAAGAAGGCCUUCGGGUUGUAAAGCUCUUUCGGCCGGGAAGAAAUCGCACGGGCUAAUACCCUGUGUGGAUGACGGUACCGGAAUAAGAAGCACCGGCUAACUACGUGCCAGCCGCCGCAGAAAUAC